UACGUAGGGGGCGAGCGUUGUCCGGAUUCAUUGGGCGUAAAGAGCGCGCAGGCGGCUUGGUAAGUCGGAUGUGAAAUCCCGAGGCUCAACCUCGGGUCUGCAUCCGAUACUGCCCGGCUAGAGGUAGGUAGGGGAGAGUCGGAAUUCCUGGUGUAGCGGUGAAAUGACGCAGAUAUCAGGAGGAACACCGGUGGCGAAGGCGGGUCUCUGGGCCGAUACUGACGCUGAGGAGCGAAAGCGUGGGGAGCGAACAGG
rnacentral:rRNA from 1 species